AUUCUUAGUUGCCAGCACUAACGGUGGGCAACUCUAAGGAGACUGCCGGUGACAAACCGGAGGAAAGGUGGGGAUGACGUCAAAUCAUCAUGCCCUUUAUGACCUGGGCUACACACGUGCUACAAUGGCCUAUACAAAGGGUAGCGAAGCUGUGAGGUGGAGCCAAUCCUAAAAAGCAGGCCUCAGUUCAGAUUGCAGUCUGCAACUCGACUGCAUGAAAUUGGAGUUGCUAGUAAACGCAGAUCAGCUAUACUGCGUUGAAUACGUUCCCGGGAUU
rnacentral:rRNA from 1 species